UCCCAUAAACCAUGAGAUCAUGACCUGAACUGAAAUCGAAGAGUCGGACGCUUAGCUGACAACCACCCAGGUGCCCCAAGGAAGACAAAGUUUUAAAUACGCUAACAUUAAAAAAGUCUUAGCUAGGUCUCUGCUGUGGACUGAAUGUGUACCCCCAAAAUUCAUGUAUUAAAACCCUAAUCCUCAAUGUGAUGGUAUCUGGAUAUGGGGUUUGGGGGAGGUAAUUAGGUAUUAGUGUUGAACUCUCAUGCUGGGAUUAGUGCCCUAACAAGAAGAGAUGGGAGAGUGCUUGCUUCCUCUCUGCUUUACACACACACACACACACACACACACACACACACACACACACACACGGUAAGUGUUCUUGUCUCCAUAGUACCUGAUGUGAUGUGCAUUUAUCAGAAUAUACGCCACAUUGUUUUGCCAGUUUGUAUCUCCCCACUGGACUGAGCUCUGUGGGGUCAGAAUCUGCUGUUUAUCUUUCUCUUUCCAGCAGCUAGCACGACAUCUGGCUCAAAAUACGCAUCCAAUGAAUGACUGAAUGAUGCAAAACAACCUUGGUCAUAGAAACUGAAGAUGGAAAAGACCUGAGGACAUCUAGUCCAUCCACAUGAUUGUACAAGAAAAGUGGCUGGAGCAAAACAGCCUGUUCACUUCAUGCUCACGAGACAGCAUUUCAAUUCUUCCUGGAGCGGAGCGAUUGCGCACACACAGUACAAUGAAGACACAAUGCAAACACUCUUUACAAACCUUAAGAAAAUACUUCUAAAUACGUUAUUUUCAUAAAACGAUUGGGGACUAAACUGAAAAAGUGAAGGAGUCCUGGAUUAGAUGGGUGGUGUUGGUGAAGAAAGGAACAACUCAACAGAGCAGGUCGUGAAGCGGUUCUUACCGUGACUACUGGAUUUUCUGGUUUGCCUAUCAAAAAUGAGUUGGGAGGAAGAGAGGCUCUAAAGUACUUUCUUUCCCCUUCAUUCUUUAUUCACACCUAGGACGUGCAUAUUAGCUCCAAGACUUUGUCGGACCCAGCACCAACACUGGAAGCCCCCAGCCUGGAAGAUACACCUCAGUUUUACUUGGUGGCUGCUCUGGUUGGCACAGAAGCGGAAGCUCCCAGCUAGGGCUUGUGCAACAGCAGGAUCCAUGAAUAAUGGAGAGUCCCCUCCAGGCAUGUUGAAGAGCUCAACUGGUUGUAUCCCUGUGGCUGCCUCACUUGUCUUCCCAUUCUUCCAACUCCUCUUUAAUGGCUGGAAGGAUCCCCUUGCCUCUCCACCUCGAGGCAUCCACACUCUGGGGCCCUUAUUGACAGGAACCAAAGUGUAGCCCUAUCAGUUCCUGAUCACCCCAGUUCCUGAUCACUCCUGAUCACCCCGUCGUACUUGACUGUGUGCUUCCUGUGCCAGAGGAAUUUCCCCUUGGGACAUGGGAUGGGGUGUGUAACACAAUCAGGCUGUCACGUUCCAGGUUUCACCACACCAGAGCUUGGAUUGGAAAAGAACGGGCCUUCCUGAUCUCAUGAAACAGAAGCCCAGAAGAGGAGGCAAGGUAGCAUCCCUGAUCUUUUUUCCUUAUUAAAAUACCACCCUCCACCUGAA